rnacentral:rRNA from 1 species
AGAAUCAACGCUGGCGGCGUGCCUAACACAUGCAAGUCGAACGAGAAAGUGGAGCAAUCCAUGAGUAAAGUGGCGCACGGGUGAGUAACACGUGACUAACCUACCCUUGAGUGGGGAAUAACCUAGGGAAACCUGGGCUAAUACCGCAUAACACCUACGGGUCAAAGGAGCAAUUCGCUUAAGGAGGGGGUCGCGGCAGAUUAGCUAGUUGGCGGGGUAAUGGCCCACCAAGGCAGUGAUCUGUAUCCGGCCUGAGAGGGCGCACGGACACACUGGAACUGAAACACGGUCCAGACUCCUACGGGAGGCAGCAGUGGGAAUUUUGCGCAAUGGGGGAAACCCUGACGCAGCAACGCCGCGUGGAGGAUGAAGUCCCUUGGGACGUAAACUCCUUUCGACCGGGAAGAUUAUGACGGUACCGGAAGAAGAAGCCCGGCUAACUUCGCGCCAGCAGCCGC